rnacentral:misc_RNA from 1 species
GUUAAGUUCAUAAUUUGGCCUUAAAUUCUUCAUGUGAAAUGUUCUCCUAAGUCUCAGGUUUCCAUAGGUUCAAGAAUCAGGUCAAUUGGAGUUUCCUAAAGUGAGUUAUACUCAUUUUACCAAUUACUGUUCAUAUGGUCAUUUCUACAGGUCCAGAAUAUAUCAUUCCGGAUUCAAGCCUAAUUUAGGCAAUUUAUGGUUAGUUUCUGGGCAACCUUCCUUCAUGACAUUUCUAGCAUUAUAUCUUAGGUUUUAUCUCCAAUUGGCCUCACACCAAU